rnacentral:rRNA from 1 species
GACGUAGGGCGCGAGCGUUGUCCGGAUUUAUUGGGCGUAGAGAGCUCGUAGGCGGCUUGUUGCGUCGACUGUGAAGACCCGCGGCUUAACUGCGGGCUUGCAGUUGAUACGGGCAGGCUAGAGUUCGGUAGGGGAGACUGGAAUUCCUGGUGUAGCGGUGAAAUGCGCAGAUAUCAGGAGGAACACCGGUGGCGAAGGCGGGUCUCUGGGCCGAUACUGACGCUGAGGAGCGAAAGCGUGGGGAGCGAACAGG